GAGUUUGAUCCUGGCUCAGAACGAACGCUGGCGGCAGGCCUAACACAUGCAAGUCGAAUGCAGUAGCAAUACUGAGUGGCAGACGGGUGAGAAACGCGUGGGAACCUUCCUUUUAGUACGGAAUAGCCCGGGGAAACCCGGAUUGAUACCGUAUACGCCCUACGGGGAAAGGAUUAUCGCUAAAGAUGGCCGCGUUGGAUUAGCUAGUUGGUGAGGUAAUGGCUCACCAAGGCUACGAUCUAUAGCUGAUCUGAGAGGAUGAUCAGCCACACUGGAACUGAGACACGGUCCAGACUCCUAUGGAGGCAGCAGUGGGGAAUAUUGGACAAUGGAGGCAACUCUGAUCCAGCCAUGCCGCGUGAAUGACGAAGGCCUUCGGUU
rnacentral:rRNA from 1 species